CUCGGCUGCGGCGGCCCGGGGCGGUGCCUCGCCCUCCGGGGCAGGUUUCCACCGGCUCAGGUACUUCUUCCCUUCCGCUUUCUACGUGACCGGAGUGCCUGGGCCAGUCUUGCCCGAAAUCACUGAAGCUGCAGCUUCUAGCACAAAGUUCCACUGAGGGAUUGCAUCGUGCGUCCUGGAGCCUUGAAGAUUACAGAUUAUUUCCCUGACUGGAAAAAAAAAAAAAAAGCCUAAUCCAAAGUCCCAAAAGACCUAGCUACUAUCCACAGUCAAGGAUGUUACGACUUUUGGCCUAAGGAGGUGAACUACAAGGAUUUGUAGGACUUAGUGCAAAGAAAACCCAAAUUAGUUCUGAACAUUGCUUGGGAUUCCAGCUUUUAUAUCUAGGUUGGUACAAUAUACACAAGAAGGUGUCAGGCCAUUUCAACUUUGUGCCAAAUCCUUCUUAGGUAUUGAGGUGUUCUGCCUCUCUUCCCAUUCAUAAAAUGCAAAUAAAUAUUUUCAUAUGACAGUUCUGCACCUAGAAUAAUAUAUCACAUUCUGGAGUCAAUUGAAAUUUGGAAUGUUAAAAUACUUGGUAAAUUAAACAACAGGAUUUUUUUUGUU